UACAGAGGGUGCAAGCGUUGUUCGGAAUUAUUGGGCGUAAAGGGCGCGUAGGCGGUGCGGUAAGUCUGCAGUGAAAUCUCUGGGCUCAACUCAGAGUCUGCUGUAGAAACUGCCGGGCUUGAGUAUGGGAGAGGUGAGUGGAAUUUCCGGUGUAGCGGUGAAAUGCGUAGAUAUCGGAAGGAACACCUGUGGCGAAAGCGGCUCACUGGACCAUUACUGACACUGAGGCACGAAAGCUAGGGGAGCAAACAGG
rnacentral:rRNA from 1 species